GACGAACGCUGGCGGCGUGCUUAACACAUGCAAGUCGAACGGAAAGGCCCUGCUUUUGUGGGGUGCUCGAGUGGCGAACGGGUGAGUAACACGUGAGUAACCUGCCCUUGACUUUGGGAUAACUUCAGGAAACUGGGGCUAAUACCGGAUAGGAGCUCCUGCUGCAUGGUGGGGGUUGGAAAGAUUCGGCGGUUGGGGAUGGACUCGCGGCUUAUCAGCUUGUUGGUGGGGUAGUGGCUUACCAAGGCUUUGACGGGUAGCCGGCCUGAGAGGUUGACCGGCCACAUUGGGACUGAGAUACGGACCAGACUCCUACGGGAGGCAGCAGUGGGGAAUAUUGCACAAUGGGCGGAAGCCUGAUGCAGCAACGCCGCGUGCGGGAUGACCGCCUUCGGGUUAUAAACCGCUUUCGCCUGUGACGAAGCGUGAGUGACGGUAAUGGGUAAAGAAGCACCGGCUAACUACGUG
rnacentral:rRNA from 1 species